GUGAUCAGCUUGAAAUUCAGCUAACCGAGCAGCUACGGUCCCUCAUCCCCAACGAGGAUGUGAGAAAGUUCAUGUCUCAUGUUAUCCGGACCUUGAAAAUGGAAUGUUCAGAAACACAUGUGCAAGGGAGCUGUGCCAAGCUCAUGUUGCAAACAGGCCUCCUGAUGAAGCUUCUCAGCGAGCAGCAGGAAGCAAAGGCAUUGAAUGUAGAAUGGGAUACGGACCAACAAAAAACAAAUUAUAUUAAUGAGAACAUGGAACAGAAUGAACAGAAAGAGCAGAAGUCAAGUGAGCUCAUGAAAGAAGUUCCAGGAUAUGACUAUAAGAACAAACUCAUCUUCGCAAUAUCUGUGACUGUAAUACUAAUAAUUUUGAUUAUAAUUUUUUGUCUUAUAGAGGUAAGGACAAUAAUUAAUUCAGGUUUUCAGAAUACAAUCCUGUGUUUGUGUGGAUUCAGAAUCCACAAACUGAAAACCAAUGUCACUUUCCCACUUGACAUUCUUCUUCUGUCAUUUAAGGCUGAGGUGUGCUUUGUUCUUUUACUGCAAUGUAUAUUCCAGGAUUUUUAAAGGAUCCUCGCUUCCAGGAGGUCUCUGUGAAAUAAAACCAAGUUAAUCCCACUAGACUAUUUUAAGAAGUUAAGUUGAUAUAAUAGCAAAAUUUCUCCCACGCAAAACUAUCUCAACAAUUGGAUGUACUCACUGAGUCACCCCUUACUCUGCCACUAAUUUAUUUCCUUGUUGCUUAAAUGAUGAGAGACAUAUAAUCUCCACCCUCACGGAGUUGUCAUCACCCUGGAGAGGAAGAAGACAGCCAAAAGAGAGAAGUAUUGUCUUGUAGACUUACUAGAUUCACAUAGAAUCAUCCUUCUCCAGUGUGUAAGGUGUUGUCUAAAUAGGUCCAGUUAAAGAACUACAGGGUAGCCAUUUUUAAAAAAAAAUUUUGGCCACGUUUUCAAAUUCACAGGGGAGGGGAAUGUCUCAUACUCCAGCCCUCCUGAGCCUAGGCCCUCUGUGAGAUGUGUCACCAUUUCUUGGACACCAUAUGAGACAUUCCCCCUCGGAUUAGAGAUGCUCAACCUGCAUCAACAAAUCUAAAGCCUGCAUCUGGCUACCCUGGGGCGAGUCCUGUUUACAGUGCCCAUUCCUGGAGCUCGCCUCUUUUUGCCUUUUGUUUGAUUAUGUGAUGUAUUACUUUUCCCAGCAGGCCAGUGCUAGCAUACUGGAAGAGGGAUUUAAUAAGCUGGCACCCUUGAUGCUAUGCUCCUAAUCCAACCUUAUUUGCCUCAUUGGCCAUUUCCAUUAUGGUGGCAACCCUCCAUUCCAGCCACAGCAGCCCCUCAGCGUCCCCCAGUCACACCGUCCCCAUUGCUGCUUAUCUGUGCCUUUGUCCAUCUACAAUGCCCUUAUUUCACUCUGCCUGUGGGAGUCCUGUGAAUCUCUCCAAAGCCAACUCAGUUCAUCUUUCUGCUUGAAACCUUCCCUGAAUAGGCCAGGUGCGGUGGCUCACGCCUGUAAUCCCAGCACUUUGGGAGGCCAAGGCAGGCGGAUCACAAGGUCAGGAGAUCGAGACCAUCCUGGCUAACACAGUGGAACCCCGUCUCUACUAAAAAUGCAAAAAAUUAGCUGGGUGUGGUGGCGGGCGUGUGUCGUCCCAGCUACUUGUGAGGCUGAAGCAGGAGAAUGGCGUGAACCUGGGAGGUGGAGCAUGCAGCCAGCCAAGAUCAGGCUGCUGCACUCCAGCCUGGGGGACAGAGCGAGACUCUGCCUC
rnacentral:sRNA from 1 species